GGCCUGGUCCUGAGGAGGGCUUGGAGCGGGCCUGGUUCUGGGGAUGGUUUGGGGGCGGGCCGGGUCCUGGGGAGGGUUUGGGGCGGGCCUGGUGGGGAGGGGGCGGGCCUAGUUCUGGGGGUGCCCCGCCCCCGCCUAGCCCCGCCCGGCCCACUGGGCCCGCGUCCCGCAGGAGCCGCAGGCAGAGCGUCCGGCGGCCGGGAGGGACGCGGAGCCACAGCCCGACGCACGGACGGAGGGACGCCGGAGCCCGCCUGACCAUGUGGAAGCUGGGCCGGGGCCGAGUGCUGCUGGACGAGCCCCCCGAGGAGGAGGACGGCCUGCGUGGGGGGCCGCCACCGGCCGCCGCCGCCGCCGCCCAGGCGCAGAUAAAAAGUGUCCGUAUGUGUGGUUUCUUCUGACACCAACCAAUUCUUCAGUACCAGCUGGGUGUCCUACAAUUCAGUUUCCUUCUGACAUUCCCUUCCCAGAAUUAGCACAGAUCCUAUGGAUUAAGGAGUCAUUCCCGCAAGACUGCACCCACUUCAGAUGCCAGAUACCAACGGGUGCCCAAUUCACCAUAAGUCUCUUAUGCCACUCCACAUAAAAUGUCUGAUGUCAGCACAAUGGUGGAGUGGAAAGUCCCGGACCUUGUUCCCCCACGGACUCUGACUGACAACAAUAUACAGUCCAAAAGGAUGUAUGAGAAUUACAGAAACCAGUUUAGAAGUCACAGUACCCCAGGCAAGCUCAAAGCCAAGAACAGCUGCAUUGAAGUAGGAGAAAAAAAAAGCCAUUUAAUUUCACCUGCCUUUCCCUGAAGGUGGCACAGCUUGGCAUGAUUGGUAGUAAACACCCAACUCUCUGCUGGGUAGAAAGUGAAGAAAGGAAGUCCACCAUUCUGAAUUUUGGGGGGUCACCUGAUGGACUGGUUUCUGUCUCUCCUGACUCAGUGCUGACUGGGAACUGGCAUACUUUGGAUGCCUGGGG
rnacentral:lncRNA from 1 species